AUAGCUUCUCGGCCUUUUGGCUAAGAUUAAGUUUAGUAUCUGUUCUUAUCAGUUUAAUAUCUGAUACGUCAUCUAUCCAACGACAAUAUAUUAAAUGGAUUUUUGGCAUUAGGAACUGGAAUAGUAGCUUGCUCCAUCCAUUCCACGCAUCGACUCAUCGACUUAGUAUUGCAGUACCUCCAGGAAUGGUACCCCCAAC